rnacentral:snRNA from 1 species
UUGUUUAAUACGUGAACUUUCAA